rnacentral:tRNA from 1 species
GCCGUAGCUCAGUUGGUAGAGCAGAGGACUGAAAAUCCUCGUGUCAC